UUCAAAUUUCUCAAGUUGUCCUCAGAGCCUGUGGCAGCUGCUGUUUUUACAGUCGGGAUCUCAUCGAGGGGCAAGCAUUGCAUUGGAUUACGAUGGUCACAUUGAAUCUAGAACAUCUAGGGGCUAUAAAAGAACGUGGGCAGAAAAAACAGGCCACCCACCAAAGGGUAAAUUACUGCACGAUCAAGUCAAGAAGCGAGGGCAGAGGCCUAUGGGAAAUGUAGUCCAAUCCAGACGGAUCACCGCGCAGCACUCUGGGAACGGGUCUUCUUCUGCGCAAGUGCCGUCCUAGCCUCGCCGCGUUUUUACGCAUCUGCAUCUUCCCGCGGAGCAGGUCCCACAACUUUCUCGGUCAGGCAGGCUGGAAGGAGCACACCUGGGGGUCCAACCGCCCUAUUCCUGGAGGGAGCCUCCUCUCCUUCUGGGAUGCUGAGACUUUGUGGAAGUGAAUUUAGAAGCCGCCGGGCAGGCCAGACCCUUCACGGUCUCCCGAGAGGUGCAGAAAAUGAACACAUCUCAGCUGCACGUCGUUUCCCUGCACGUACCGUCUUUAGCCAAAGACUCAAGACUCAAAAACUCAUGGUCUCUUUCAGUCAGCUCUGUCUCCAGGAUCUUACACCACAAAUGGGAGUUGUGUUGGCCUCUGAAUUUCUGGUUCUGUCUCCUCAACUUCCUGAGACCUCUGCGUUCUGUUUUGGUACCAUAUUCUGAUCUGAAACUGCGUUAUUUCUUCUUUUUCUGGGAUCCUUACCCAGCAGUGCCUGUUACCUGGUACUGCUCCAUCAUGGGAGAAGGGGAAACCUCAUGCCGUAGAUUCCUGCUAAGUUCAGUAUUAUGUGUGCUCGUGAUUUAGCUCAAGGAGAUUCAUACUUUCUGAACAUCAGGGGGGGGACAAAUGUUUUUGUUGUCUACUCUGCAAGGAAAGGUUCAAAUGAGCACCUUUGUUGUGCCAUCCCUGAAGAUGCGUCUUCUUUCACAUUCAGAAUCCUAGAAGCCCAUGCAGCAGGCCCAAGUCUUAAAUUAUUUCCCACUGACAGGGUAUCGCUAUACAAAACCAGGAGUGAUCUUAAGGCUGGAGCAAGCAGAAGAUCUAUGCUCAUUAGAAAAGAAUUUCUAACCAGGAGAUCUUCAGAAGACUGCCAAGAUGAUAACCUCUUAGAGAAGAGCCGACAAAUCCAAGACAGACAUUUGUGGCAAGUUUUAUUUACUCAUUUUCAGAGAACUGACACAGGAGGGAAAAGUUUCGACCAGGGGUCACACACAAGAAGAACAAACCAGAGAAAUUAGGCGGAGGUGACCCCCUUUGAAUGUGGACGAAACUUCAGCCAUAAUUCAGCUAACACACCAGAGAAAUUCUGUGAUUAUAAUAAACAUAGGGGAGCCCUCUGCCCCCA
rnacentral:lncRNA from 1 species